ACUGAAAGAGCGACGCAGAAAGCAACAGCCAGAAACGGCGGGGACGCGAGCGGCCCAGACAGGAAGGGAGGCGGUGGCGCAGCUCUGGUGCGCAGCGCGCCGCAGCGACGGAACUUCUGCAAAAGCUGCCUGCCCGCGCGUUAUCAGCGGCGCGCAGGCCUGUGGUUUUCUCGCUCUCGCAACCCUGCUUUAACUGCCGGUUUAUUUUUCGACAAACAGGAUGCCUCCAUCUGAGGCUGUCAGUUGGGCAGGUGAGUGGGGUAGUUAUGGAGACCACCUGAGAGAGCCUGGAACACGGUUGGUGCUGGCAACCUACAGGGCCCCAGCCCUUGGCGAGGUAUCUUUCUGGAGAAAUGCUUCCUAGUGUUCCUAGCCAUUCCUUGCCUCAGGCACCUUCACUACCAUCCCAAUCACAGGCCUACUGCUCUUCCUGGUCCAGCUUGCUGGUCCUAGUGCUUAGCUUCUCUCUUAAGGGGAUCUUUUGACCUCUGUAGGAAUUUCUUCCGUCUUGGGCUUCUGGCAUGGUUCUAUUGGUCACCUGGCACCCUCCUCACCACUUCAGUGGUGCCCCCAACUCUGCUUCUAGGACUCUGGCAAGUCCUACAACCACGAUCCUGGUAAUAGUACGAGGUUGGAUUUGUCAACCUUGUCACGAUCACAUUUCUGUUCUGCGCAUUGUGGGCUGUUUGGUAGCAUCUUUGGCAUCUGCCUACUGGAUGUUAGUACAGUCCCCUCUAUCCCUUGAGUUGUGACAACUAGAAAUGUCUCCAGACAGUGCCAAAUGACCCCCUUCCUCCUCACACUGCCUCCUUCUUCCAGGUAAAAACCACUGGUGAGGCCGGGUGCGGUGGCUCACGCCUGUAAUCCAAGCACUUUGGGAGGCCAAGGCGGGUGGAUCACGAGGUUAGGAGAUCGAGACUAUCCUGGCUAACACGGUGAAACCAUGUCUCUACUAAAAAUACAAAAAAUUAGCCGGGCAUGGCGGUGUGCACCUGUAAUCCCAGCCACUCAGGAGGCUGAGGCAGGAGGAUGGCGUGAACCUGGGAGGCAGAGCUUGCAGUGAGUCGAGAUCGUGCCACUGCACUCCAGCCUGAGUGACAGAGUGAGACUCUGUCUCAAAAAAAAAUAAAAAAUAAAAAAACCACUGGUGUAAGAUAUUUUAAGGUGACAAGCAUGGAGAAGAAGAGAAAAGUAAUGAGGAAAAACUAAACUGGCAAGAUCAAUAAAUAUGGUCUAAAUAAAUGAAAAAGGAGAUUGACUAAAUAGACCCAUGGGAAAUGAAACCAGGAGAUAAAAUGUUAAAGAAAAGUAUAAAAAUUGCAAAGAUAAGAGGGCAUUAGAUCGGCUCAAAAUGGAUUAAAGACUUAAACCUAAAACCUGAAACUAUAAAACUACUGGAAGAAAACACAGGGGAGAGGCUUCUUGCCAUUGGUCUGGGCAAAGAUUUUUUUGAAUAUGAUCUCAAAGCAUACGCAACAAAAGCAACAGUAGACAACUAGGAUGGCUUCAAAAUAAAAAGCUUUUGCACAGAAAAGGAAACAUUCAACAGAAUAAAGACAAAACCUACAGAAAGGGAAAGAAUACUGGCAAAUCAUAGCAUUUGAUAAGGUAUUAAUUUCCAAACUACAUAAAGAACUCAAACAACUCAAUAGCAAGGAAAUAAAUAAUGUGAUUUAAAAACUGGGCAAAGGACCUGAAAAAAACAUUUCUCAGAAAAAGGUACACACAUGUCCAGUAAGUAUAAAAAAUACUCAACAUCACUCCUCAUCAUGCAAAUUAAAACCACAGUGAGCUAUCACCUCACACCUGGUAGGAAAGCUUUUAUCAAAAAGUUAAGAGAUGGCCGGGUGCGGUGGCUCACGCCUGUAAUCCCAGCACUUUGGGUGGCCAUGGCAGGCAGAUCACCUGAGGUCAGGAGUUCGAGACCAGCCUGACCAACAUGGAGAGACCCUGUCUCUACUAAAAAUACAAAAUUAGCUGGGCAUGGUGGCGCACACCUGUAAUCCCAGCUACUCGGGAGGCUGAGGCAAGAGAAUUGCUUGAACCUAAGAGGCAGACGUUGCGGUGAGCCGAGAUCGUGCCACUGCACUCCAGCCUGGGCAACAAGAACGAAACUCCGUCUCAAAAAAAUAGAAAAAUCAAGAGAUAACAAGUAUUGGUGAGGUUGUGGAGAAAGGGAGCUCUUGCACACUCUUGGUGGGAAGCCAUUAUGGAAAACUGUAUGGAGGUUCCCCCCAAAAUUAAAAAUAGACUACCCUAUGAUCCAGAAAUCUUAUUUCUUGAUUUUUUGGUAUAUAUCCAAAGGAAAUGAAGUCAGUAUGUCGAAGAGAUAUCUG
rnacentral:lncRNA from 1 species